GGCCUACCAUGGUGGUAACGGGUAACGGGGUGUUAGGGCACGACACCGGAGAGGGAGCCUGAGAAACGGCUACCACAUCCAAGGAUGGCAGCAGGCGCGCAAAUUACCCAAUCCCGACACGGGGAGGUAGUGACAAUAAAUAACAAUACGGGGUUCUUUCGGAUCUCGUAAUUGGAAUGAGUACAGUUUAAAUCUCUUAACGAGGAACAAUUGGAGGGCAAGUCUGGUGCCAGCAGCCGCGGUAAUUCCAGCUCCAAUAGCGUAUAUUAAAGUUGUUGCAGUUAAAAAGCUCGUAGUUGAAUUUCGGGACCAAUUUGUUGGUCGUGCCUCGGUACGUACUGGUAUUAUUGGUUUCUCCCUUCUGAAGAACCUUGAUGUCAUUAAUUUGGUGUCUUGGGGAAUCAGGACUGUUACUUUGAAAAAAUUAGAGUGUUUAAAGCAGGCAUACGCUUGAAUACAUUAGCAUGGAAUAAUGAAAUAGGACGUUUGAUUCUAUUUUGUUGGUUUCUAGGAUCGACGUAAUGAUUAAUAGGGAUAGUUGGGGGCAUUAGUAUUCAAUUGUCAGAGGUGAAAUUCUUGGAUUUAUUGAAGACUAACUACUGCGAAAGCAUUUGCCAAGGAUGUUUUCAUUAAUCAAGAACGAAAGUUAGGGGAUCGAAGACGAUCAGAUACCGUCGUAGUCUUAACCAUAAACUAUGCCGACUAGGGAUCGGAUGAUGUUAAUUUUUUAAUGACUCAUUCGGCGCCUUACGGGAAACCAAAGUGUUUGGGUUC
rnacentral:rRNA from 1 species